UGGGUGUGCUCAGAGCAGGUGGCCUGAAGAAUGGCUUCUCUGUUUACAACACACCCAACAGGAAUUUAGGGUCACUGUGACAAGGGGCAUGAAACUUGUGACUUCCCUUUGAACAAAUGUGCCACACAU
rnacentral:snoRNA from 1 species